UACGGGGGGAGCAAGCGUUGUUCGGAUUUACUGGGCGUAAAGGGCGCGUAGGCGGUCAGCACAAGUCAGUUGUGAAAUCUCCGGGCUUAACUCGGAAAGGUCAACUGAUACUGUGCGACUAGAGUGCGGAAGAGGCGAGUGGAAUUCCUGGUGUAGCGGUGAAAUGCGCAGAUAUCAGGAGGAACACCUAUUGCGAAGGCAGCUCGCUGGGACGUAACUGACGCUGAGACGCGAAAGCGUGGGGAGCAAACAGG
rnacentral:rRNA from 1 species